GCCUUUGUGGUGUAGUGUUCAGCACGCUCGACGCGUAACCGAGAGAUACGGGUUCGAUUCCCGGCGAAGGCG
rnacentral:tRNA from 1 species